rnacentral:rRNA from 1 species
AUUGAACGCUGGCGGCAGGCCUAACACAUGCAAGUCGAGCGAGCGGCGGACGGGUGAGUAAUGUCUGGGAAACUGCCCGAUAGAGGGGGAUAACUACUGGAAACGGUAGCUAAUACCGCAUACCAUCGGAUGUACCCAGAUGGGAUUAGCUAGUUGGUGGGGUAAUGGCUCACCAAGGCGACGAUCCCUAGCUGGUCUGAGAGGAUGAUCAGCCACACUGGGACUGAGACACGGCCCAGACUCCUACGGGAGGCAGCAGUGGGGAAUAUUGCACAAUGGGCGCAAGCCUGAUGCAGCCAUGCCGCGUGUAUGAAGAAGGCCUUCGGGUUGUAAAGCACUUUCAGCGGGGAGGCGUGACUCGCAGAAGAAGCACCGGCUAACUCCGUGCCAGCAGCCGCGGUAAUUC